rnacentral:rRNA from 1 species
UACGUAGGGGGCUAGCGUUGUCCGGAAUCAUUGGGCGUAAAGCGCGCGCAGGCGGUCCUUUAAGUCUGAUGUGAAAGCCCACGGCUCAACCGUGGAGGGUCAUUGGAAACUGGGGGACUUGAGUGCAGGAGAGAAGAGUGGAAUUCCACGUGUAGCGGUGAAAUGCGUAGAUAUCGGAAGGAACACCAGUGGCGAAAGCGACUUCCUGGUCGAAUACUGACGUUCAUGUGCGAAAGCGUGGGGAGCAAACAGG